GGAUGUGAGGGUGAUCUGGUGGUGACAUCUGUUACCCCAUGGAUUGCCAGGAUUGAUUUGGCUGAUCUGGCUGGCUAGGCAGCUGUUACCUUCCUUCCUCUCUCACUGCUCCAUGUUUGUCCCUCCUGAAGCUUUGCACUUGGUCAAAGAGGAUGGCCUUUCCGGAAUAGAGAAGGACUGGUCUUUGGUCGAGAUAUACAAGUAGCUGCCCUCCCCUGCUAGAACCUCCAAAUAAGCUCUCAAGAAAACUGGAGUUUGAGCAAAGUGAGAAAAAUACAAUUUAGACAACAUU
ensembl:misc_RNA 7SK 7SK RNA